GGGCAGAUGGCCGAGUGGUUAAAGGCGACAGACUGUAAAUCUGUUCUCUUCGGAGUACGAAGGUUCGAAUCCUCCUCUGCCCA
rnacentral:tRNA from 1 species